rnacentral:rRNA from 1 species
CGUGAACUGUCUGUAUUUGUUUUGUGUCUGCGCGUUGCUGUGCGUGCGUGCGUUUGCUUGCGCUUCGGUGUUGGCGAGAGUGCGUGCUGUGGCGGUGCGCGGACUGAACGAAGGUUGUGUUGUUGUGCGUCUGCGGAUUUGCUGUGCUUUACUUUUUUGUAUCGCGUGGCGGGUGUUGCGGGUGCUAUUCGACCGGCUGACUUAUCUUUUUCAAACCCCAUACCUAACUUACUGAUUAAUACUGUGAGAACGAAAGUUCUUGCUUUUACUAGAUAACAACUUUCAGCAGUGGAUGUCUAGGCUCGCACAUCGAUGAAGAACGCUGCGAACUGCGAUACGUAAUGCGAAUUGCAGAAUUCAGUGAGUCAUCGAAAUUUUGAACGCAUAUUGCACUUCCGGGUUAUGCCUGGAAGUAUGUCUGUAUCAGUGUCCGUAAAUCAAACUUGCCUUUCUUCCUUCCGUGUAGUCGGUGGAGGAGAGUUUGCAGAUGUGAAGUGUCUCGCAGCGGUUGGUAUAUUCUCGUUUAUGCACAACUUGCGAGUCCUUUUAAAUGGACACGACUUUCUCUUUUUUGUAUCUGCGCGGUGCUGUGCGUGAACGCGGCGGUUUUCGGAUCGCUCGCGGCUGUCGGCGACUUCGGUGAAUGCAUGAUGGAGUGGACCUCGAUUCGCGGUAUGUUGGGCUUCGGCUGGACAAUGUUGCUUAUUGGGUGUCUGUUCCGCGUUCGCCUUGAGGUGUACUGGUGGCUGUGGGUUUGAACUGGUUUCUGUUGUUAGUAGUGCGCGGCUCCAUGUCGUGGGUUGCAUCUGUCUGUUUGUGCGCGCUUCUUUUUGUUGUUGUGUGCAGAGUUGGCAGAAGAGGAGUUUGAAUUUGGGAAAUUAGUGUACUGCGUGUAUAUCUCAAUUGGACCUGAUAUCAGACAAGACUACCCGCUGAACUUA